GUAGGAGGGGAAGUUACAAGAGGAUGAAUACCACCUGGUGUCCUUUACUGGGGAGGCCACAAUGUAGCAUUCUACCAUGUCAGAAAUAAUAGUCACAGUAGCACUCUGUUACUUAUGGAACACUUACGUGGGCCUGCCAAUGUGAUUGCUCUUGGUCACCAUAGUAACACAACCUCUCAGCUUGGUAUGUUUAUCACCAGUGGAUUGGAAAGGAAACAGCCUCAGAGACUCUAAGUGACCUGACAAGAAGACAAGAGUCCUGUGCCUGGCUGGGGUCAAGUCUGAGAACGGUGUUGUCUCAUCAGGCUAGACUGGGCUGUCAUAUCGUGGAAGACCUGCACAAGGGGGACUAAGCAAGGUGUGAUCGGCCAAAAAGGAGAGAACAGAUGACCGUCAGUUUCCCAUGCAGGCAUUCCAGAGAAGGUGUCAGUGGGUUGGGAAUAAAGGAAGAGCUCCUGUCAAGGCA